UACGGAGGGAGCUAGCGUUGUUCGGAUUUACUGGGCGUAAAGGGCGCGUAGGCGGCCUUUCAAGUGACGGGUGAAAGCCCUCGGCUUAACCGAGGAACUGCCUGUCAGACUGGAAGGCUUGAGACCGGGAGAGGUGAGUGGAAUUCCCAGUGUAGCGGUGAAAAUGCGUAGAGAUCGAGUGAGGAAGACCAGUGGCGAAGGCGGGUCUCCUGGACAGUUCCUGACACUGAGAACACGGAAGGGCCCAAGGGGGAGGCAAAACGGGGAAUUAGAAAACCCC
rnacentral:rRNA from 1 species